rnacentral:rRNA from 1 species
AUUGAACGCUGGCGGAAUGCUUUACACAUGCAAGUCGAACGGUAGAGGGGGCGACCCCUCGAGAGUGGCGAACGGGUGAGUAAUAUAUCGGAACGUGCCCAGUCGUGGGGGAUAACGUAGCGAAAGUUACGCUAAUACCGCAUACGAUCUAAGGAUGAAAGCGGGGGAUCGCAAGACCUCGCGCGAUUGGAGCGGCCGAUAUCAGAUUAGGUAGUUGGUGGGGUAAAGGCUCACCAAGCCAACGAUCUGUAGCUGGUCUGAGAGGACGACCAGCCACACUGUACAUGAGACACGGUCCAGACUCCUACGGGAGGCAGCAGUGGGGAAUUUUGGACAAUGGACGCAAGUCUGAUCCAGCCAUUCCGCGUGCAGGAUGAAGGCCCUCGGGUUGUAAACUGCUUUUGUACGGAACGAAAAGGUCUCUCUUAAUACGGGGGACUCAUGACGGUACCGUAAGAAUAAGCACCGGCUAACUACGUGCCAGCCGCCGCCGUAAUAC